rnacentral:rRNA from 1 species
AGAACGAACGCUGGCGGCGUGGAUAAGACAUGCAAGUUGAGCGAGAUUUUUUCUUGUAACAAUGCAGGGAAAAGUCUAGCGGCGAACGGGUGCUUAACACGUGGGCAAUCUGCCGAGAAGUGGGGGAUAGCUCGCCGAAAGGCGAAUUAAUACCGCAUGUGAUUAGAGUGGACAUCCAUUCGAAAUCAAAGUCGGGCAACCUGACGCUUCUUGAGGAGCCCGCGGCCUAUCAGCUAGUUGGUGAGGUAACGGCCCACCAAGGCUUUGACGCUUAGC